rnacentral:rRNA from 1 species
AGUGAACGCUGGCGGUAGGCCUAACACAUGCAAGUCGAACGGCAGCACAGUAAGAGCUUGCUCUUACGGGUGUCGAGUGGCGGACGGGUGAGGAAUACAUCGGAAUCUACUUUUUCGUGGGGGAUAACGUAGGGAAACUUACGCUAAUACCGCAUACGACCUACGGGUGAAAGCAGGGGAUCUUCGGACCUUGCGCGAUUGAAUGAGCCGAUGUCGGAUUAGCUAGUUGGCGGGGUAAAGGCCCACCAAGGCGACGAUCCGUAGCUGGUCUGUGAGGAUGAUCAGCCACACUGGAACUGAGACACGGUCCAGACUCCUACGGGAGGCAGCAGUGGGGAAUAUUGGACAAUGGGCGCAAGCCUGAUCCAGCCAUACCGCGUGGGUGAAGAAGGCCUUCGGGUUGUAAAGCCCUUUUGUUGGGAAAGAAAAGCAGCAGGUUAAUACCCCGCUGUUCUGACGGUACCCAAAGAAUAAGCACCGGCUAACUUCGUG